rnacentral:rRNA from 1 species
UACGAAGGGGGCUAGCGUUGCUCGGAAUCACUGGGCGUAAAGCGCACGUAGGCGGAUUGCUAAGUCGGGGGUGAAAUCCUGGAGCUCAACUCCAGAACUGCCUUCGAUACUGGCGAUCUUGAGUCCGGAAGAGGUGAGUGGAACUCCUAGUGUAGAGGUGGAAUUCGUAGAUAUUAGGAAGAACACCAGUGGCGAAGGCGGCUCACUGGUCCGGUACUGACGCUGAG